UCCAGCUCGUGAGUUUCUUGACUCCCUCCCAUGUUGUUCUCUCUCUCUCCUCUGUGUUGGCCAACACAUGCUCUCUGUCCUUGCCUCUUCUUGUGCUGUCUCCCUUAGUAGGACACGGGUAGGUGUGGAUCCCCACAGGCUAGGUCUCAGGAGCCAGGAAGAAGUAGGAGGGGAUGAAAAUCAUGUGGGGUCGUGGGUGCAAGAGUGGAGGCAGGUAUUGUAAAAUAUCUAGCACGGUAGCAUGUUGGACAGUGAUGGCUCUUCCAUAGGUGGUUUGCUGUUCUUGCAGAGGUCUGCUCAAGGCCCAUGGAGCCGCCCCAGACAGAGGAGAAGCAGCUGGAGGAACCAGACCUGCACAAUCUAGAUGUUUUUCACUUGGCAGUGGAGCUAAGGAGUGCUCUUGUGAUAUUCGAGGAGCAGUACCAAGGGAAAAGAAGUGGAGGGUCCGAGUCUGCUCCCCUCAUGCGAUGGAAAGCAAGUAAGAGCAGGGAGACAGCGAACAUUACUGAUGCCAGGCAAGAGCCGUCCAGCUUGGAGCCGAGCAGCCGUCACCGUCAGUGAGAGAAGUGUCUUGUUAGCUGCGCUGGUACAGGAAUUGUCCAGGAACCCUACCCGGAGGAGAGACUCUCAGAAGUGAACCUGAUUAGCCUGAACAUCCUUCUAAGCAGACAUGAACAGUCCUGAGCUUUCUGCCUCCUGCAUAAAAGGC